AUUGAACGCUGGCGGCAUGCCUAACACAUGCAAGUCGAACGGCAGCACAGCAGUAGCAAUACUGUGAGUGGCGAGUGGCGGACGGGUGAGGAAUACGUCGGAAUCUGCCCAGUCGUGGGGGAUAACUAGCCGAAAGGUUAGCUAAUACCGCAUACGACCGAGAGGUGAAAGCGGGGGACCGCAAGGCCUCGCGCGAUUGGAUGAGCCGACGUCGGAUUAGCUAGUUGGCGGGGUAAAGGCCCACCAAGGCGACGAUCCGUAGCUGGUCUGAGAGGAUGAUCAGCCACACUGGAACUGAGACACGGUCCAGACUCCUACGGGAGGCAGCAGUGGGGAAUAUUGGACAAUGGGCGCAAGCCUGAUCCAGCAAUGCCGCGUGUGUGAAGAAGGCCUUCGGGUUGUAAAGCACUUUUAUCAGGAACGGAAAGCGUUGGAUUAAUACUCUGACGUGCUGAUGGUACCUGAGGAAUAAGCACCGGCUAACUUCGUG
rnacentral:rRNA from 1 species